CUCUGCAAAUUCUCUUGGGACUUGGUUCCAAUUCCUCUUCAUCCGAAGUUCCACUCGAAUCAAAUUCACUUGCAGCAGUUCCACUCGCGCUUGGCAAAUCAUCCAAUUUCCAAACUUCGGUAGCAAAAUUGAGAGUAAAAGUGUUGGCUUUGGUCUCGCUGGGAUUUGCAUAUACUGGACAUACUCCGUAACGUUUUACCUUGUGACCCUUUUGGUUUUGGUAACAAUUAUUGAAGAACUUAAGUGAGACAGUUGUAUGAUGGUAACCAUCAGGAAAGCCAACAUUCAAGCAAGGUUUAAAACCAAGUAUGACAUGAUCUGAAUCAAGGGAGUAUUUAUUUCUAACACUUGUGGUUGCGGGCCCACUGAAACCUAGAUCAACAUGUUUGGUUUCAGAGAGAGUCUUUAUUUCUAAGUCGAGUUGAGAGCGGCCGAAAACAUUGCAGCAAUAACAAGAACCAACUUUCUUAAAAUUAAGAACCGCACAAAAAGCAAACCCGAUUAAGUUUCUGCAAGAAGAGUGCGGUGGCAGUUGAAUACCUAUCGAAGAUCCUGAACUUUGAUUGUUGAACCAGUCAGGAAUUUCGCUCCCAGGUAAAACAAUUAGGGAUGUCCUGAGUUCAGAAAGUUUCUGUGAAAUGACAUUUAAAAAAAGAAAAUUGUAAAAUGAAAACCAUGAUUUCAGAUAUAACAAAGAGGGACAGAGUAAACAAGAGAGGGAACUUGAUGCGUUCUAAAUGUUCCAUUUUCUCCAAGAUUUCUGGGAAACGCUCAAGGUUCAAGCAGCCAUGAAGAAAAAGCUCAACCAAAGAUUUCAAUUUACAAAACCUAGUUGAAAUCCUCUUCAGCCGUUCGCAAUCCCUCAAAUCCAACUUUUCAAGAUCAGUUAGGCACUCUAUUGAUGAUGGAACUUCUUCUAUUGCAGACUGGCUUAAGUAUAGCCGUGUAAUUUUCCCAGAAAUCUGUGGAAACUCUACGAGAUUAACACAAUAGGAGAAAUUAAUAGUUACUGGACAAACAAAAUGAAGAUUGCUUGGAAAAGACCUAAGACUUUUGCAGCCCACAAAAUCCAACCUACUGAGAUACUUGAAAUUCUGGAUAGAUGAGGGAACACAAGCCAUUUCUCCUUCCCAAAUUUGCUCAACUUUACUAAAACGCAAAUUCAGUCCAACAAGGUUCUUUGGCUUGAAAUUUGAUGGCAGUGUCCUUAAUGGAUAUGUGUCCCAAUGAAGAUAUCUCAAUUUUUUAGGAAGAUAAUCUAGGCCAUUUGGAAGCUGCACUUUAGAGUACGAAAGUUGCUCUUCAAUGCUCAUACUUAGAAGCUUUUCAAUCUCAUACUUAGGUACAUAAAAUUUGAGCAAUCUCAGAUUAGACAUAUUUGUGAAGGCUCCGGGGUCUAAAUUGAUGCCUUUUAUUUUGGACAAAUCCAAAAAUAUGCCUUCAAUUGCAUCGGUCCCCUUAUUAAAAAAAAAAAAAAAACAAAGAAUGGGUAAGCCUAAAACAGAAAAGAAACAUUCGUAAACUUUAUUAACUAAGAGCUCCUAAAACAAAACAAAUUCUACGAUCUUUGAUCUUAUUUUUUUAAUAUAUUAAAUAUCUAUAUGCGAGAAAAGAAAAUUUUGGGAACCAUUGCAAAAUUAAACUAACCGAAAAAAAAAAUCAAAAUUUCUCUAAUUUACAAACCUGUUAUCUUACUAUCUAGAAGUUGAGAAGACAGGGCCUAUUUGAUUGGUAUAAGAUUUCGAUUUUUUUUUUAGUCCAUAGAAUCCAAAAUGUUAGUUCAAAAUUAGGGAAAAAAAUGAAAGUUAUUUUUUUUCCACUAGUUGUAAUUGUAUCCAAGUCAAAUUGAGAUAUGACCCUUUUCGAAAGGAUUUAAUCAUCUUAUAGCCUCCUUAAAGGAGUGAUUGGAGGCCUAACUAGGUAGGCCAAUCAGUCCAUUUUAUUAGCGACUAUUGCUUAAAAACAUUUAUACUCUAAAACACACUUACUUUUUUGAAAAAAAAAUAUAAUUAUAUUGAAGUAGAACCAGGUGGGCCAAUCCUCAUGGCACUCACUUUGUUCUGACACUCUUCACUAAAUUUGAAAAAAAAUAAAAUUAUACUCUUCACACUCUUAUUCAACAUUCCAAAAUUGAUAAAAUCUGGAGUUUUCAUUAAAAAUUUAAAAUUUGAAGACUUGUUCUCUUGACACCCUCAGUCAUUAAUUUUACCUAAUUAUGGUUUUUAUGAUUUUGGUUGUUUUGUUCAUAAAAAUGAUUUUACUAAAGGAUGUUCUGGUAAUAAUAAAAUUUAUAAAAAAAAACAUGGUUGUGCUGGUAUGAUUGGAAAAAUAUGAGUGCAUAACUCCAAACAAAUAAAAGAUAUAUAAAAAAAAAUGGAGGAUUCUUACCAUAUUAUGCUUUAGUACGCGGCGGAUUUCCUUAGGAUCCCACAACCUCUUGCGUUUGCCUGGCUCUUUCUCAGAUUCUUGGCGUCGCCCCAUUUCUUGCAAUAUAUCAUGCAUUUGCAAGCGGUUAUAUGACACUGUUAUGAGUGACUUAUCAACAAGGACAUCCAGUCCAACAGACUCAGAAUCAUCAAGAAUCCUUGCCACAAAAUCUUUAUCCUCUCCCUCAAAGAAACACGCAAUAUCUAGAAAUAUGCUCUGCACCCUGGGCGUUAAUUCAUCAAAACUAAUCUUUAAUUUCUUAUAAAUAGCAUGAAUAUCAGAUUCACAAAUCCGAUUUAAGUCGUGCAAUACUUUUCCCCAAUGGCUUUUCCCCUUGAGGGAGGAACCCAACACUUUAAGAACUAAUGGAUUGCCAUCAGCAUACUUUACAACUCUCCGUGAGUCAGGUUUGAAAUCUUCAGGACAAUGCUUUUCUUUAAAAGCGAAGUUACAAAAAUGCUCGAAAGCCUCAUGAAAAUCCAUUCCAUUAACCCUAUAUAUUUUCUUCUCCUCCACUCCAAAUUUUUCGAGGACUCCUUUAUCCCUAGUGGUUACAACAAUUCUACUUCCUGGAACAAAUUGAUCAAGCUCUCCAAUCAGACCCUCUAAUUGUCCAACUUCAUUCACAUCAUCGAGUACUAUCAACACCUUCAUACGCCGGACCCUCUCUUUAGUAAAAUGUGGAAUAUUGGCACCAGCUACUUCAAGUUUUUCGCUUAAUAUUGUUGAAAGCAUUUCCUUUUGUAGGUCUUCUAGGCCACCCUCUGUUUCUGAUUUUCUCCUAACAUUUUUUGCAAAGUAUUUACCAUCAAACUCACCAGAGAAUUGAUUGAAAAUAGCUUCAGCAAGGGUGGUUUUGCCGAUACCACCCAUGCCCCAAAUUCCAACAAUUUGGACAGUAUCCGACAAAUCCAUACACAAAAAUGGUUUAAUCUGCUCAAUUCGUGAAUUUAAUCCAACUAGGCCGUUGGAUGAGUCCGUUGAGACUGUUAUUUUUUCCAACUUCUUCAAAACAUCUUCGACAAUUUUGUUUACAAGUUCCGCAUCGUGCCUAAUAUAAAGGUGCAAAGAUGCAAAAACAUUGAGUCAAAUCGGGCCAACACAGAAACAGAGAUAAGAUGAAUUAGGAAAGAGAGUUACCUGAAUUUCGUGGAUUCGUGGCCAGCAAGACCGGAUGUUUCUCUCAGUGCAUCCCUCCACCUCUGAACCAUUUCUGGCUUCUCUUUGAACUGUUGUUCGAGCUUACCAAAGCCGACCCCAAAAAUCCCAGUUUGAUGCCGCACAUCGGACGGACUUACGCCAUAGAAAACCGGAAUAAUGAUUUGGCCGUUUGUGUGCUUGCAUUCAAGAAUCUCGACAAGUUCAUACAGGCACCAUUUUGAAGAAGCGUAGUCCGUUGAGAAAAUGACCACCGAAAUUUUUGAACCUUGGAUUGCGUUCAAAAGGGCAGGUGAAAUCUCAUCUCCGCGCCUAAGCUCUUCAUCAUCAAUAAAUGUUCUGAUUUUCUUUCUUUUAGACAAAGCAUCAUAGAGAUGGCAAGUAAAGAUCGCACGAGUGUCCUCCCCUCUAAAAUUGAGGAAGACUUCAUAAAUGCAAGGAGAAGAAGCCAUGAAGGAAAUAUUAGAAAUUUGGUGACAGAAACAGAGAAUUAAUCUUGAGAGCUGAGAGAGGAGAUGUAAGAAUGAACAUGUGUGAAUAUUCUUGCGAGUACAUAGUAAAUAAUUGAAUGGCUCGAGCUUUCUUAGUUUCCUGGAAAUUUCCUGGAGCUUUCGUAUACAUGAUUUGUCAAGUCAAGAAACAUAGUCAUGAUAAUGGGGCAGACCAGGAAGAAAAGGAAAUUGGAAUUUUGUACAAUUUCUCCAGCGAGGAACUUUCACUGUCAUUACCUCACCGUUACAGUUUGGAUUAGGGUAAUUUUUACCCCGCACCCAAAUGUUUUGACAUACAGCACAACGCACCCAAUUCUUUUGCCCAUGAGCACCGCGCACCCAUUUCCGUUUAUUUUUCAGUUAACUGUAACAGAUCAGGGUAAAAUUGGAAUAACGCAUCAAAAUUUAAAAAUAAAAAAAUAGGUAAACUCGAUGUUUGCGCCAAAAUAAUUUCACAUCACUGUGCUUAUGUUCACUGCGUUUGCGUGUGAGACCAAGAAGCAUGGCCACACCUCCAUUGAUGCCAAAAUCGAGGAGGUGGGUGAAGAAGAAUUGGCGCCAAAAUCAUUCACAUAUGAUGUGCAAGGAAAUUAUUUCAGCCUUUAAAUACUUUUUUAUUACAGCAGCAUCAGCUAUUGCUCUGUUUCGAAGAUCUGCUCAAUUUCUAAGACAAUAGUUGGUUUGAGAGUUUAAGGGAAGUGAAUCCACUGAGCGUGCUAUUGAAGAAGUGGAGGUCAGUUUCAUUUCUUGCUCAAUUGUUUUAAUUUAUUCCAUUUUGUUUGCAUGUCAAUUAUUUACACAUUUUUAGCUGGAUUUUGCUUAUCUAUAAAACUUGAAUCAUUGUUAAUCAAAUCAGCUAUAAUUUACGCCUCAAUGUGGUUUGUAAGUUUAAGUUAUGUUGGAUUAUACCUGAAUAAUGUGGUGUUUGCGUUAUUGAUUUCAAUUUCUAUUGAUGAUUUUGAGUAUACAUAUUAGUGGAUGAAAGUUUUUAAUUAGGAUGAUUGGUCACGCAUAUAUGUCAUAGCAACUGUGUUUUUUUGGGUUAUGGUUGUACUGUAGAUCAGUAGUAGUAGUGAUUUGGAUAUAAACGCUAGUGCUUUUAUUGUAAAUGAUAGUGAUGAAGAUCCAGUGUUACAGAAUUUGAUGUAAAAGUUAUUGGUUUUUGGCUAAAUAUCUUAGAUAAAUAUGAUGCUCAUGCAAUCAAAUCCAAUGCUUAUGCAAUUUACACCAUGUUUAUGAUAAGUAAUUAAAAAAAUAAAUGACUAUUCCAGGUGAAAAUGGAUGAUGAUGAUAUUACAACUGUUCUUUGUACAUUCAAGGGCAAGACAUAUAAUGUUGGUGUAAUUGAUCCAGAUAAGUUUAGUAGAGUUUCUGUAAUUAACAAGGUUUUAGUUAGAGUCUAUGGAAGAAAGAUGAGGCCUGAUGAGAAGUUUACACUAAGUGUUUGGGUACCAUGGGUCUAUAAGGAAGUAGAGAUUAUGUCUGAUCAUGACUUAAUAUUCCAGCUGAGAGAGCAUAAUAAGAUGUUGUUCUACUGCAUGCAAUUGUAUAUUGAAGAAAUCCAUGUACCUCAUGAGUUUGUACCUAGAAGGGCUUUGUUUCAGCACUCAGCAGAAGAAAGCUUACAAGGGUAUGCUGAAACAAACUUUCCAGCCACUACUGACCUGCACAAACCUUAUACACAUGCUACAUCCACCAACACAAAUCCUUAUGAAAAUGACAGUAAUGACCAUUCGAACCAUGAACCCCCUGUCAAGAACUCCAGCAGCAUAAUGAUGCAUAAUGUUGCACUUGAUAGCAUCCAAUCACAGACCAAACCAGAUACCAACCCUGACCUAUAUCAAGACUUUUUGGAUACCUAUUUCAGAUCAUCACCACAACAGAAAACACCAUCAGCUGCCCAAACUAAUGCCGAAAAUAGUGAUAGUGAUAACACAUCUUCAUUUGGUACAAAUAAGACUCCUACUGAGCAGCUUCAACAAAACUUUGCCAUCUCUUCUGAGUUGUCCCCUUUAUUGCAGCAACAUGGACAUCAUGCAUCCCAAAAUGAACCUAUACCUUUUCACCAACCUGAGUUCUCAUCUCAACCAAUAACUCAAAACCCUCAGUCACAAGUUGUACAAGCAGAAAACUUCCAGCAACCAGAAGCCACUACACCAGCACUAGUAGAUUAUAACUCAGAUGAUAGCCAUUAUAGUGUAACUGAUAGUGAGGAAGAUCCAGAUCAUCCAUUAGGUGCUCCAAACAUUAAUAAUACUCCUAGGAAACCUUCUGUUAAUGUUGACUUAGGCUCUAUGCCUUCUGAUGAUAGUGAUGAAGAUUGUAUGCUAUCUGAUUGUGAGAGUGAUGACAAUGAGUUUGGGGAAGAAUCUGAUGAAGAGAUUGAUCAAGUGCUGGUCAGAAUGGAUGCUGUUAUGAGAGAGAACAUGUACAUUCCUAGUGAUACACCUGUUCAAUUCUUUAUUGGGCAGUGUUUUAGGAACUUCAGGCAGCUGGCAUGGGCAAUAAGGACUUAUGCUGUGGAAAACAAGUUCAAGGUUUAUAAGCACAAGUUUGAAAAAUCCAGAGUAACUGUUGGAUGUAAUUAUUUCAGGUGCCCAUGGUUUUUACAUGUUGCAAAAACUAGAUUUGGACAAACCUUUAUUGUUAGGAGGCUUCACAACGUACAUACAUGUCAGAGAGACUUAAAGAAUCCUGAAUGCACUGCAGAGUUCAUUGUUGCCAAGUUUGCUGCAACUAUAAUUGAGCAUCCAGAUACAAAGGUUGGGUGGAUUCAAAGUGAACUUAGAAGGAUGUAUGGAGCUAAGAUACACAAGUAUAAAAUUUAUAGAGCAAAGAAGAAGGUUUUACAGAGACAAUGAGCUGAUUAUGAGUCUAGUUACAUGUUGAUCAGAAAUUAUGCUCAGGCCAUACUUACUAAGAUGCCACAGGCCUUGGCAUUGGUUAAGGUUUUCAGGAUGCAUGGUCAACAACCUCAAACUCACUUUGACAGCACUGUUAUAUCUUUCCAUGCCCUCAGAGAUGGCUUCAACCAAGGUUGUAGACCCUUCAUUGGUAUUGAUGGAUGCCAUUUGAAGGGUCCAUAUAAGGGUGUUCUUUUAUCAGCAGUUGCUAUUGAUGCCAACAAUGGAAUCUUCCCACUUGCAUUUUGUGUAUGUAGUGUCGAGAGUACAACCAGCUGGACAUGGUUUCUAAGCCACUUUAGGGAAUUUUUACAAGAUACAAGACAACUGACCUUUAUGUGUGAUAGGCAGAAAGGAAUUCAGAAUGCUCUUGCCUUAGAGUUUCCUAAUGCACAUGUUAGAUUCUGUGCUAGACACAUCUUAGCAAAUAUUAAGUUAAAACAUCCUCAAUCUGACUUUAAAGCAUAUUUCUGGGCAGCAGCAAGAGCAUCAAACAGAAGGGCAUUUGAUGAUGCUAUGCAAAACAUAAGAGCAGCACAUGAGGGUGUAUAUGAGACUCUUAGGAGGAUACCACCAAAUUUCUGGUCAAGGCAUGCCUUUGACAAUAAUUGCAAGUCUGAUCAUUGCACUAACAACGUAACUGAAUCUUUUAAUGCAUGGAUUGGGAUUCAAAGAAAGUUGCCAAUAAUCUCAAUGCUGGAGUGGAUUAGGAAGAAGCUGAUGAAAAGAAUGAUUGGAAGAAGAAAUAAGGCAGAGUCUUGGGACAGUGAUAUACCAAGAAGAAUUUAUGCACAAAUGAUGAAGAAUUUACAGAUUGGCAGUGCAAACCCUAUCUGUAGAGCUAGUAAAUGGCUUUAUGAAGUGGAUGAAAAUACCAAGACUUAUAUCGUUGAUCUUGAACACCAUAUGUGUGACUGCGGACAAUGGCAAGUUAGUGGGAUUCCAUGUGUACAUGCAAUGCCUUGUAUUGUGAAUAGUCAAAAAGAUCAAGCUCAGUUCAUUAGCCAAUGGUUGAAGAAAGAUACUUACCUAAGGUGUUAUUCUGGAUUGAUUAAACCAAUUCCAGAUAGAACGUCAUGGGUAGAUGCUGGUGGUGAUGAAAUACUGCCCCCUUUAGUGAGAAGACCACCUGGACGACCUAAGAUGACAAGAAGAAGAGAAGCUGAUGAGGUACCAGCACAUAAUAAACGAUACAAGAUGCAAUGCACUAUUUGCAAGGGAUUUGGACACAACAGAAGGGGUUGUCCUGUUAACCCUCAUAAUGCUCACAAGACAACAAGACAAUAUAAGGUGAGUGUGUAUGCUUGUAAGAGAAUAUUCAAUUAUUUUUUGAACCAUGUUCCUCCCAUGUGAUGACAGCUAAUGUGCCUUGUUUGUUUGUGCUUUUUUAUAGAAUAACCUGAAGAAGCACGUGACAAGGACAAAUGGGGAGCAAAGUGAAGGUAUAAGAGUAAUUUACUAAGUUAUAUUACUAUAUUACUUUACAGCUGUAUUAGAUAAUUAUAUAGUUGUGUAUCACCAAACUAUAUUAAAUUAACUUAUUUAUUUAACGUUGCUUUAUUGGUAAUUUAUAAGGCCAAGUUCACGGAAUUACCUCAACUAUUUUGGAAAGCCAAGACAAUGACAUGGUCCAAGUAACUGUCUCAGGCCAAAACAUAACAAAGAACCAGCAGACUGCAUCUAACAAACGCAAGAUUGGCAAUCAAGCAGGGCCAUCAAAAGCAAAUGAAGUCAUUGGCAAGAGCAUGAAUGGGGUCAUAUCUGUAGCUCCAUGGGUAGGUGAACAGGGAAGAAAAGUAAUGUCAGCCGCUGGAUUAACCUUCAGCAAAGAGGAUGAAGUCGGCAACUAUACUGAAAUGAAGCAUUUGGACAAAGGGAAGGCACCAGCCUUCCCUUCGUAAAGGGUAAAACCAUAGUUUUCUAUUGAUAUAAAUUAAUAUUGGUUUUGGAAAUGAUAUUUAUAAUUUGUAACUUGUUUUGUAGUGAUUCUUUGGCUAUGAUGGAGACAUUGGCAGCAAACUUAUUAACAAACAGUGGAGGCAACAUUAUCAUUUUUUGACACCUUCCACAAUGCCACAUCAACCCACCAGGCACAAGGUUAAGGUUAUCUGGAUGCUGAUUUCAUUAGGAUCAAGUGGCCAAGUAAUGACCAGGCAUGUCAUUGUUUUCUUUUUCUUUUUUAUUUUGGAGCUGAAAUUGGUGGAAGUUGUUGGACAUUAAGCUUAAGCAUUAUAGAGCUGGAAGCUGUGAUGACCUACUAUAAGUAUGAUUGGAAGGGUUUAUGGCAUUUUGAAAGUUUUUGGGAUUAAGAUACAUAUAGGACUGAUAUCAACCAAACCAACACUUUUUUUUUUUGUUUUUUGGUCACAUGUAUGUAAACACCAGAUUGGAUGUGACUAACAUUGUAAGUUGCUGCCAAUAUGCAUUUAUAGAUAAAAUAACUUAUUGCUAUUAUUGAUAUCAUAUUUGAUUAAAUGGUAUAUGUCAAGAAACGAAUGCAUUUUAUUGAUCAUAAGAUUUCAUUUUACACAUUGUUCUAGCAUUCCUUACAGUACAAUACAAGCAAUACAAGUAUAGUUAUCACUAUAAUCGUGAUUUGAUACUUCUUAUUUUUAUGAAGUAAACCUUCAAUAUUGAUGAACCUGUUGUGGAAGUCCUCAAUGUUAAAUUGUUGAAUCUCACUUGCCCUGUCUGCAGCUUCUUCUUCAAACCUUUGUAACGCUGCUUCAAUUUCUAUAGCCUCACCUGUAGAUGGUUUCCACCAUCUAAAGAAACCACAAGAUGGGUCAUUAGGGCAUGUGUAAUAUAGUUUGUUGGGGUUUGUUUUUGAUUCUGACACUUUGAUUUCUGCCCUUCUUCGACAGUAGCAUACUGUGUUAUAGAACUUGAUGAUGCCCCCAUUGAUUUUAGGUAAAUCCCUUCUUCUGUUAUAAGUUGAUGAACUUGAUGCAUUCCUUGAAGUGGACAUUUUCUUCAAAUUUCCAAUGUCGUGUCUGUUAUAUUCUUUUUGAAAUACAGCACAACGUAUCUGAACUUCAAGUUGUUGUGCUUGUUUUGUGUGUGAAUGAAGCUGCUGUUGAAGUUGUAUUGUUUCGGUGGGUAAAACCAAAUGUUGUACUACUGUAAGUUGUUGCUGAGUAAAAAAAAUGGUGGAGUUUCCAGGUGAGUCAAUGAAAAUCACUGAGGUGUGAAGAGGGUAGGAAUUUAUAUGUGUUAAACAUCACAGCUUGUGGUGAUGCAUCAGCUCAAAUUUAUCAAUUUCUUUUACUGUUCUUGUAACCAUAUAGCCGUUAUUACUGUUGCUCAGAUUUUAUAGCCGUUGGAUUUUUGAUGCGCAUGGUAAUAAACCAAUAUGCUAAGGGCAAUAUAGUCAAUAUAAUUUAACAGUUAUAGUUGGUCUUCGUGUGUAAAUACACCUUUAAAUAAUGGCCAGUGGUAAAUUCCUUAGUUCAAUGACUCACCUGGAUGCAUUUGAAUUCAACGCAAGGGUAUAUUUGUCAUUUAAUCAAAAUAUAGACUGAUCCGUUACAAUUAACUAAAAAAUAAACAGAAAUGGGUGCGCGGUGCUCAUAGGCAAAAGAAUUGGGUGCGUUGUGCUGUAUGUCAAAACAUUUGGGUGCGGGGUAAAAAUUACCCUUUGGAUUAUGAUUUGAGGGUGCAAGUAUUUACCUAGAGUUUACCUCCGCACUAAAUUCUUAAGUUUUGAAAAUUAUGAGACCUUUAUAUUGGGAGAUAUUGUAAUCGAAUCAAAACUUAAAUUUUUUAUAAUGUUAAUAUUUAAUCUUUUAAAAAACAAUAACCUCGCCGUUACAGUUUGGAUUAAGAUUUGAGUAAGUAUUUACCUAAAUUUUACCUCCGUCUGUAAAUUCUUAAGUUUUGAAAAUUAUGAGACCUUUAUAAUCGAAUCAAAAUUUUGAAUUUCAAUAUUAUUAUUCUUUAAAAAAAAUUUUGAGAUAACAGAGUGAUUGAUAAUAUAGGAGAACUUGUCUAGGCAAGCACAUGUAUACACAGAAACGUGAUGGAUUCAAAAAGAAAUUAAAGUGAUAAUGCGAAAUCGCUUGGUGGCCCAGUAAAAUUACGACUGAAUUUUUUUUUUUUUUUUUACAAAAUUCAAGCUCAUAAAUGACAAAUUUCAUUUCCCUUUCACACGUCAUUAACUUUUGUAACAUGGUGUGUGCAUCGUCAAGUGAGGCAAAAGGGUUUCAAUUACAGUUGGAAAACAUGAACAAGAAUGCAUAAUGAAUAAUUCCUUCGAUAAACCGAAAAUUAAGCACAGAAUAAUCCUAAAAUUUAAACUCUAAUAUCUUAUAAUGUAUUGAUUAAAAAUAAUCCUAAGAGCUCCCAAUUGAAACUUUCAUAAGUAUUUUAAUUGUUUUGGAUAAACAAAUUGCACUAGGAUAAAAAUUUGGCAAAUUCAGAGGAUAAUGGAAAAUAGUUAUGCUUCAAUAGGCCAAAGAUUAGAGAACAAAUAAGAAUUAUUUAUUGAUAUACAAAAGAGAAACACUCCAAAAUUUCAAGCAAAAAUAGUUUCAUAUAUCAUUUCGAUUUUGAAAGGGAUGAGAUUUUGAACUUCAAUAGUUUCCUCUAAAAUUAAAAGGUAGCAAUUAAGCUAAAAAGAGCAAUGAAGACUUAUUGGUACCUUAUUAAAGGUAAACAUUAUGGAACUUUCAAUGUCAUUAUCUCACUGUUCAAUUUUUAUUGAGAUUUGUGUAAGCAUUUACCUAAAUCUUACCUCCGCCUUUAAAUUCAUAAGUUUUGAUUAAUUAUGAGACCUUAUAUUGGGAGAUAUUAUAAUCAAACUAAAACUUAAAAUUUCAAUAUCAUUAUUCUUUAAAAAGAAAUUGAGAUAUCAGAGUAAUAUCACAUAGAAAAACUUGCCCACGGACGGUAAGCCAAAAGUCUAGUCAACCACACGCAUAAAGCUAACUAGAACAAGAGAACAGAGAAACGCGUGGGUCCCUAAAAGAAAAGGCAAGCACAUAAAUAACUUUCAAAAUGCCCAAGCAAAUACCGAUGAAAAUCACUGUUUAAGAAUAAUUUAUUAUGUGGUUGAAGCUUUCUUUUUAUCAAUCUUCUUUCUACCCAUUAAUUUUCCCACGACUUUCCCGUUUCAUUUCUUGAAUCUCCAUGGAUUAACUUUCAAUAAACCAUAAAAUAAACUAAGGAAUCAUUUUCUCGAAUACAGCUAUGAUUUUAAUAAAUGGGCGGACCAUCUAGAAUAGUAUAUAUAAUUCUGUUUAAUUAAUAAGUUGAAAAAACCAUCAAGAGAAAUUCUAAUAUUAUGAGCUUGACACGAAUUCUUCACUAAUUCCAAAACAAGGAGCUGUUUUAUAAGAACUGUGGUUGGAUUAUUAAGUUUUACAAUUUGAAUAUAAAUAAGAAAAUAAAAUCAGUCGCGUUGAUGUUUUCGAUACAUUUCGCUGCUAACUUUUUUUUUUUUUUUAUUACAUGAGACUAUUGCUCAAAUUACAACUCAUAUUACAUGAGAAUAUAACUGAUAUUUACAAAUCAGACUAUAACUGGGACCAAUAUACAUCAAUACUAAUGGAGCGCUGCCCAGAUUUUAACCCUCUCAAAUAUUCAAGGGAUGUCUACACCUCACACUUGGGUAAGGAAACAGACUGUCUUCACUUAAAUUUACUUGAGGAAUGAAGACCCCCACAAUACAUUGUGGGGGUUCACCACUCGACCAAAGGCCGAGUGGCUCAUUUCGCUGCUAACUUAAUUAAUUACUUUACUUCAACUUUAUUUCCUUAGGGGCACUUUAUGGUGGGUCCAAGAUGGGACCUACAAUAAUCAAUCCUAAAAUUUAGUAUGGUUACCAAAUAGCUAGUAGCUAGUGUUAUUUUGUGUUUGGUGGAAGAGAUUGAAUAUUUAGUUUUAACUUAACCAUUCAACUAAUUAGAAAAUAAAUAAAAUUAAAUGAAAUGUUUAGAUAUCAAUUUAAAUAUUAAUAUCGGGGAUAUAAAUUAGUUAUAAUAUAGUUCAUUACAUAAAAUUGAUUAAAUUAAUAAUUACCCGUGAACAUAGAUGUAUAUGCUUUCCAAUUUCCAAAGUGCUCAAAGCACUUUUCUCACCAAACUUUCCUCUGAAUUUCCCGUAGCUGACUCCUUUGUUUGCGUUUUGUGAAAUUUCUAGGAACUUUUUUCGAUUUAGAAUAUUGUACAUUUUUCUUUUCAGCUGAGAUUAAUUUAACUUAUAGAAAAUCUUAUCCUUUUUUAAUAUUAUUUAAAUAAAAUUUGUCUAUCUUUUAUUUUAUUAGUCUACUUUUUACCCAUUAAUUAAGACUUUUCAAUUUCUUUUUUACCUGAGGUUUUCAGUGACUAUCUUUCAAUAAACCAUAAAAAUUACUUAGUCAUUUAUCGAACAAUUAGAUGACCAUAUUUCAAAAUAUCAACUAGAAGUUGUCCUGAAAUAUUUAAUUAAUAGUUGAAGAAUUGUGAUUAGUGUGGGCAUCUACAUAAAAAUUAUAUUAAAACACCGCUAAAAGAUAAAAAUAAAAUAAAAUAGUACAAACAUACACCCAUAGGUUAAAACAAAGAAAAAACACGAACCAAUACACUAAAAUGUUUUAGCUGUAGUUAGUUUUCAGUUUCAUUACUUAAGUCCCACGUGCAUGUCACGUGACUGAGGUCAAAAAAUGAUUGUCACAUUAAAGUUCAAAAUACGGAGCAGGGUAAUUAAGGAGUGGAGCUAUUGGCACCCCUCCAUUAUUCUUACAAAACUCCACUUUAAAUCAAAAUAUAAUUAAGAAUAAUUGAAAAUUAAACACUUAUAGAUUUCUUUACAACAUGUUGAGUGAUAAAAAAGCACCAGUCGGGCAUGUCCCCAUUUCUUACCCGGUGCCGAAUCUCCACGGUCGAAUGGUAUGAGUAGACUCUUGGUGAUGUCUUCUAUGUGGAGCACGUAACAACAGACCAGGAACUAGUACCAACCAAAAACGAGUACUGAUCGAAACAAGCAUGACCAGAAACGCAUACCGACCAGAGACUUGUGGGUCCGUAAAAGAAAAGGCAAGCACACAAAUGAAAAAGCCAUUACAUUUCUAUUUUACAUGUCAUUCCUAAUUUUUGUAACACGAUGUGGCAGCAUAUGCACAAUCAAAUGAGGCAAAAGGGAUUCGACUAUCGUGGCAGAACAUGGACGAGGACGCGUGAUGAAUAAUUCCUUCGAUAAAACGAAAAACAAACGCAGAGAAAAGAAUUUCUUAUAUGACAAGAAAUUAAAGUAAUGUGACGGAACAUGAUGAAGAAAUUGCAGAUCGAUCAAUUAUCCCCAUGGACUCCUAUAAAUUCAACCAAAAUAACAAUUCCAAUAUUACCAAAUUCUUGAGUUAAAUUUAUUCAAUGCUUUUUUUUAAGAGAAAUUUUUUCCAAUGCUACUUUCCCUUUUUUGGGGAAAUUAGAACUGCGGCAUGUAUAGAAGACAUUGAGGUAUAAAGCAACAUUAAUUUCAUGGGUUAUGCGUUAUACGCAUAAUAUAUUUUCAGUCCAAAUUCAACUAUGCAAAGAGGCUUGAGAACUUAAAAUUAAGCACAAACUAAACAGACGAAGUAAAUACAUGAUUAUGCAACAUAACAUUAAUUCUCUUAAUUUAUAACCGUUUUGCCACAUGAAUCUUGCACAGUUAAUCCUAAUUGAAGACUAAAAAAGAACAAUUGGAACAAGGUUUUGAAAUAGAAUGAUAGACAAUCGAUAUGAUCCAUUUCCAGUCGUCAACGCUAAUUAACUGCAGUUUCUAGACUCCUAAUUAUACUAGCCAUAAGAAACUGUUUAGAAAACUGGUGAUCAGAUUAGAUUUUGAAAUGAAAUAAUGUUCAUUUUCCCUUCGUUACCCUUUUAUUUAUUUAUUAUUUUUAUACCAAAGAAUUCUAUCAUGAAACGAAUCAAUUUAAUCACCUUUUCCAGCAGCACAAUUUUUCUUUUAUAAAAUUUGACCACAGAGACAAAGAAGAAUUAUUCAUACCUUCAUCAGUAAGGAAAUACUUUUCGGUAUGGCUAGGGUGAGAAAAGGCUUUCCACAAACACUUGUACUUUGUAUUCCUGUAAAUUUUCUUUAAAGUCAAUAAAAAUCAUAAGUUCUUUACAAUAACCAUCUCUUUGAUAAAAAAAGUGCCGUAUUCCUUUAGAAUUUAAAACCGGCAAAAUCGAAUCAGUGUCUUUGAAGAGACAUAAUGGUCAUAAUUCUUUAAAGAGUUGGCUAUGGAAAUCCUUAUCCAAGAUUCUUUUACGCCAUAUUCUUUCGUAAACCAAAAUUCAUUUUGGAAUACUCUGUUGAGAAUGUCAAAUAAAACGGUAUUGAAGGAAGUUUUCAAAGGCAGAAUCCGCACUUGUCAAAGGGAUGAUCUGCAUUUGUCAGAGACACAAUCUGCGUCGAAUGAAUCGACACAUUUCCUUUUGUAUUCGCAUAUGUAAUUUUUGAAAAAAUGUAGCUUCUGCAUCUAUAAAUAACGCUCAGUGUAUAAUGUUUUAUUCAAAAAAAGAAAACAAGUUUCUUCAUACUCGUCGUCCGAACAUACAGAGACCGUCUCUCAUAACUUCAGCCGAAUACUUAUGAUGAUGAUCAUUUGUGAUUUCAUCAGGCAUAGGGUUGAUGGUGAAAAAUUUUGUAUGUGUGAAGAAUUGAGCUGUGGAUAUAGGGGACUUAAGUGUAAUCGAAAGAGAGUUAUUAGGCCAUAGUGUAGAUUGCAUUCAGUUUAUGAGUCGAUAUGCAAAUAAUUUGUUGACGUGGCGAAAUUUGUUAUGGUCGUUACUAUUGUUUCUGGAAAUUUUCUAGAAACCUCAGCAUAAAAGGGGCUUUUGGAUAGCCUCUGGUGUGCGUGUGAUUUCUCUUUCGUUUCCUCAUCAAAUUCUGUAAUUCUUGCUUUGAUAAAAAGCUUGUAAUCUCUUCUGUAAUUGUGAUCAGUGCGUAAUCAUUUUGAGCGAUAAAAGCUUGUAGGUUUUUCCUUCAAACAAUGUCGUUUUGGUCAGUUUGUUAGUUUGAUCUGUUGGUGGAAUUUUCUUUGGUUAUUUGUUCUCAAAUUUCAACCUUAUAUAAAGUUUGAACUCUAAUGGCUUAUAAUGUAUUGAUUAAGAAUAAUCCUAAGAGUUUCCGAUUGAAAUUUUUAAUGACUAUUUUUAUUGUUUUGGAUGCACAAAUUGCAUUAAGAAAAAAUAUUGUCAAAUUCAGAGGAUAACGGGAAAUAAUUAUGCUUCAAAAGGCCAGAGAUUAGAGAAUAAAGAAGCAUUCAUUACUGAUAUAAAAACUGCUUCUAUUUGGAUUUUGAAAGGGGUGAAGUUUUGAACUUCAGUUGUUCCUCUAAAAUCAAAAGCAAUAAUUAAGCAUUCUCAAUUAGAAAGAGCAAAGAAGACUUAUUGGUACCUUACUGAAGCUAACAUUAUGGCACGGUUGUUCAUAUGUAAUGGCUGCUCUGUUAUGCUAGCUUCUCUGUUUUUGCUUCUAUUUUUGCUUACAGUUUUGAAGAUAAAUUCUUGCUCAAAUAACACAUAAUUAAAUAACACUAAUAUGGCUCAUGAAAUCCUAUAAUAGCUAAUUACGCAACUUUCUCCUCCUCCUCAAUUCUGUCUUCCCCUGCUCGGACACUAACUUCAAAAUUCAAUGCCCCGAAAAACAACACAAGAAAUCUUUGAGUUAGUUCGUGACCAGUUUAUAUAUAGUAGCAAUUGAAAAAAGAAAAAGAAGAAAAGAGUUAAUUAUUUUUCAGACCUUCACUUAUUAGGAAGUUUGUUCUGCUAUUGGGUGAGAUCAAGCUCUCAGCAUAUACUUCCACAUGAUACUUUCUAACAUUUUCUUGAAAGCCAUCAAUCAUUAAAUCUUCAUACUUUUUUCCAUCCUUUGGAUCAAUAAGUACAAAUUUCUCAUCUAAAAAAGACAAAAUAAAAUCACUGUCCUUCAUGGAAUCAGAAUUGAGCUUACAAAAACCGAAGUGGACAGUUCCAUUCAGAUUGGUCGCCCGAGAACAAUGAUGAGAAGACUUAAAAUCAGUUUCAAAGGUUUUCCAAGUAUUGUUCCUCUAAACCACUUGUAUAUUUUACCAGAACUCUUGGUUAAGAAAAUCCUAGUCCAUGGAGUAUGAUAUAUCAAUCAUGCAACAAUGACCUACAACAUCUAUGUGGAUUGAUUUUUGCAAAAUAAAGAACAAUGCUGACUGAGGAAUAAGGUGCAUACCCGAUUAGCAAUAUCUCAGCAAGUAACCAACAAUUUUUUAUCUGAUAAGAAAAAAUUACAAUUUCUUGAAUAUACAUGAAACAUUUUGCAGAAAGAACCAUGUCAUAAUUAUUAGUCCAACUGAAGAAUUAUCAAUACUUAUCACAUGAAACGAAAGAUACCCGAGUUCACUUAAUGAAAUUCUCUUUUUUUUUUCUCUAACAUUGAGAUAAGCAAAAACUUUUAACUAAAGACAAUCAUCUAGUGAUCUCAAACAAAUGAGGUUAGUAUGAAACCAUCAUAAUUUGUUCGCUCAUUGCCUAAUUUUAUUAAUGCAAGAGCCUGGAAGCAACUCAAAAAGAAAAUAACCGACAUAGGAAGUGUCAUCUCAUAUCUCACCAAUGAAUGGGAACAGCUUGAUGUGGCUGAGCAAACUGGCAGAAUUGUCAUUUUAACACACGUUCAAGAAACUCAGCAAAUUCUCAUAUCUGUUUAAAUUCCACAGCAAAGAUAGUUACAAGAAAUCUAAUCAAAAUUUAAAAUGUCAGAAGGCAAAUCUUCCAAUUAGGAUCAAAAGAAGAUAAUUAUAAUUUGUCAUUUCAAUUCUGAAUGUACAAUUUUAUUUUUUUAUGUGUGCAUUAAUUAAGAUUCUACCUUCUCUGCAAAAUUGUGAUGGACUUGGUAAAUAAUGAAUUGUAUCGACUUGAAUUUUAUACAACUUAUUGAGAUAAUAAUACGCCAAAUUCAACACCGUCCAUCCCAAAUCACAACAAGAAACUCAAACUUUUAUCCCCUCAAGUGGGUUCUUGAAACUGAAGCUUUAGUGCCAGUACAAUUUUGAAAGAUUGUGAUCAAACUAAAACAUCAAAUAAAAUAAGACGUAACAAAAACACGUCUUCAGAAAAUUAGUAUAGGAAUAAGAUAAGCUACACAGACCUACUUCAAUGAAUUAGAAAAAUUAUGAUAAACUUGAUGCAUUUCGAAAAACAACAAACAAAUAUUCCCAGGAAAACAAAAAAAAGACAACUUUGUUUAAGCUUAGACAAAAAUAACUAAGGACAUAUGAAUGCAUCAUAAUAGUAUCUCUAUGGGUAAUUUUCAGAAAUCUCCCCUAAGGUAUGGUGUAUUCUUAGUUUGAUAGAAAAUAUCUAAGUAUUCUUAUAGACCUCCCCUACUGUUAGUAUUCCAUUUCGUAUAUGUUAGGUAGAUGAGGGUAAGAUCGUAAUUUGAAUAAGUUAAUGAUAAAAAAUCCAGAAAUUUUAAGAUUUUCACAUUGGCCUCUGGGCUUUAUUCAUCUCUUUCAUCCACCAAAACCAGAAAUACAACUCACCUCUCUCCUCCACCUAAAUCGAAGCAAGGUAGCUCAAAACUCAUUUCAAAAAAUUGAUCAAUUACUUGGGUCACAAACUAGAGACAAUGACGACGAAGUUGAUGACGCCAAUAUCGACGACGAAGCUGAUGACGCCAAUAUCGACGACGAAUGAUUCGCAACUGCCAGGUAAGAGAGUAUAGUAGGUUUCGCCAUCGAACGCCCAAUCAUCCAGUUGUUUUGGAGCCGCGUUAUUUUUAUUAGCUAAAAUUAGAAUUUUUAGUGAAAAAUUGAAAGUGGGUCUCAAAAUUUUUUGAGAGCGUAUAUGUUUCUCCUGAUUUUUCGAUCGAUUCGUGUUAGUUGCAGUUAAAUGAUUAAUCCAAUUCGUGUUGAAGAUAGAGCUAACUCGAAUAUCUCUAUAGUCCUGUAAUUGAUUGAAAAUGGGUCUUGAAAAUUGUUUUAGAUUUCAGCUGUGUGCUUCUGAUUUUUUCCAUGGAUUCAUGAUAGAUGAAAAUGGUUGAUGAAGAUUUGCUUGACAUGUAUAUAGAUGGUAUUUUGUUAAAGGGGUUUUAAUUUUUUCCUUUUUUGGUGGUUUCGAUUGUGGUAUUUACAUGCCUUAGGUUGAGAAAAACGAAAAUGGUUUGUUGCACUCUUUUGUGUUGGAUCAGUGAGUUUAGGCGAUUUGAAAUGGUUUGCGGCAUUCAAUUGAUUGUUUUAUUUAUGUGGUUUGAUAUGGGAAAAGUAUAAUAAAAUUCAAUUGUUCCAUAUGUCAAUUUGGAUGUUUUGAAAUUAUGAACUACAAAAAGUUAAAAUUAAUUUCUUAUUAUAUUUUCAAUUGAAAGUUACUAUUGUCUUCUUUUUAGUACUUAGUAUGCAUUUUUCCCCAUCUUCUAGUGGUGGUGUUGCACCCAUUUUGAAUUUGAUCGGCAUCUUCUUCUGUACAUGCAUGUUUCUUGGACUCCAAUUUUUGUUUCAUAUGAUGAAGCUAAUUUAAUUCCUCCUUUUUAAUAUCAACUUUGUUCAUCUAGGUUUGCGAUUUUGAUCUUUCUCAUUUGAAGGCAAACACAUUUAUGUCAUCAAAAUUUCCAAUAUUUUUUAUUUUAUAGUAUCCAAACUGCUUAUGGCAAUAUGAAAUUGAGAAUAUUUCUUUCAUCAUGUUAACCUAAGUGGAUGGUGGAUGAUGUUUGUGUAAGAGAUUUAAGUUAUUUGUAUUAUAGAAUAUGUCUUAUGUUUUGAUUUGCAAUUUCACCAUUAAAUUGGCUUUGUAAAUGAUUAGAAGCUAAAUGCAUAAAAUGAAAACAAUAGUAACAUUUCUGAGUGGGGUAUAAUCAGAUGCUAACAUGGCGAUCCAUGACUUGUAAUUUCUAUUGUCGUUAUAAUUGGACUAGAUCGAGGUAAACUGACUUUUCUUGUUCUGUUUUUUUUUUCAUUUCUUUGUUCUAGAUUUUUCUUUCUUUGUUUUACUUCUGGUUUCUUCUUCAGCAUAUUCAAUAACUAGCAUGAGCAAAUGGAGAGGAAAAGGGUAGAAUAUGCUUUUAAAAAAAAAGAAAAGAAAAAAAGAGAUAGCUCUAAUUCAAAAAUAAGGAGGAGAAAAGGGCAAUGAUUGAAGUUGUGGAGAAGAAAUUCUUAAUGCAUAGGAGAUGACAACAAAGUGUUGCAACUGGGAGCAGUUUUAAAGUGCUAUUCGAUUGCUUUUGUAAUCAAAUUGUCUUUUGUACCUAUUUAUACACACACAUAUUUGUAUUUGUAAUUUGAAUUUUACAUUUUCUCAAGACAACUAUGUUUAUUUUAAAAAAAAUCUAAAUGUAACUAAAAUAUUAAAGUUUUUGUACUUAUUACUCCAUUUGAUGAUUUUUUUUAUUUUUUUGCUGACGAAUAUUCCAUGUCAAUUUUUUUCCCUUCAGCUCGUUUAAGGUGUUUUAUUGUCUGAUGUGAUAUUUGGUGCUCGGGAGGAAGGGUGUUUUAAGUCUUUUUUGGUGUCAGGGGCAAUUUUGUCUUUACAUCAGUCAACAAAUAGUCAAUGGAUGGAAAUGCAAACAGCAGGGGAGGUGUCUGAUAAUACACGGAUACUUUCUAUCAAACUUAUAAUACACAAAAUCUCAGGGGAGGUUUUUGAAAAUUACCCAACUGUGCAAAAUUAUGAAAAAAAUGAGCUAAACAUAUAUAGCAUUUCAGAGGAGUGCUUACUUGACAAAUCACUAAUACAAAGCUGCGAAUGGGCAUUCGGAAUGUUUUGAGAGACUCGUAUGGAUAAAAUAUGUAGUUAUUUAAGUAAUGACAGAAGGAGAAUCGUGUGGCUUGUCAAAGCCGUUAGCUCCAUCUCAUUUGCCUCGUCCUCUCGUUUUGUUUCUGUGGGGACAUAUUUGAUAUUUUGGAUUUUGUCUAAAAUUCGUCAUGUUUUUGGAUACUAACAUCUGCGCCUCUAGACCAAUAGCCAUUUGAUUAAGUGGGAGAACCCUUACACUAGUGUAAGAAUUUGAACUUUUAUAAAAUUAUUUAUGAGAUUAUUUAUAAUUUUUUUUAAUUAUCAAAUAAUUGAGUAGAGUCAGUUUAAUCCUUACGAAAUAUUUACUAUUCAUAAAUAUCUUUUUUUUUCUCUAUCUUACAAUUGAAUAUUCUCUCUCUACUCCAACAUUAUGUAACCUAAAUAUUUAAUUUCACUCUUUUUUAAUUUAUUUUUUUGUCUUUUCUUAGUAUAUUAUAAUCUUUAUUUCAUGUUUUCUAUAUAUAAGAAUUUUUUUAUAUCUAUUAAAUUUUGUGUUUAGUGAAAAUUAAUUUCUUGAUAUUUUUAAUUUUUAUAAUUGAUAAAAAUAUAUCAAUGUUCAUUUUUAAAUGAUGGGUUUUGUUCAUUUUAGUUUGUUAUAUUAAUUUUUUGUAGGUAAAAGAAUAUAUUUGAAUGAAUUGAAGGAAAAUUGUGAAAUUGAGAAGAGAAAGAGAAGAAAAAGUUAAUUAAAUAAUUUUUUCAAAAAUUAUUUAAAUAAUAAAAUUCUUAAUUAAAAACAAAGAUGGAGAGAGAAAUUUAGUGGGUUCAAAAUACUUAUUUUAAAUCCAAAAAAGAACCAAUAAAAGAAAUCAAAAGAUGAUUCUUUUCUUUCUGACAUAUUUCUCUGUACUUUUCUCUCUCUACUGAUUCACAAUUUUUCAUACUUCUAACUAUCAUUUUAUUCAAGUAUUUUGUAUUUUUAAUGACAAUUAUUUAAUUUUUAGUUAGUUUUGAUAUUGAUUAGAGAUUUAAAGUGUAUUUUAGAAGACUUCCGGUCUCUUGAAAAAAGGAAAAAUGGAGAAGAAGAAGUGUUCUUGAUUUUUUGUAGGCGUUAAAGUUAAAUGGUUUGAAAUGAUAUUCUUUUUUAAUUUCACUCAUUAAUCUCAUUCAAGAUAAAAUUAUAAAUGCAAAUAAAUGGGGUUUCAUAAGUAUUUUUAAUAGUGUUAAAAGGUCUACUCACUAAAUAAACAUGUUUAACCCAAACCAAUGCGAUUAGUAAGUUAUUGGGUUGGGUUAAUCAGGUUAAAAAUCAAAAUUAAAAAUUAAAUAAAUAAAAAAGGUAUAAAAACUAUCUGUUACUUGAAAAUAAAAAGAAUUUCUAAUUGUUAGUUCUAAUGUCCCAUAUCCAAAACAUGCAUAUUAAAUAAAUAUUAUAAGUUAGAAAUACAAUAUCCAAGAAAGAAUGAAUGAAAUACCAUAUUUUUGUUGAGAAUUAAGAGUGUGAUUUUAAUUUUGAUAUUGGAGUCUAAAGUGCCACGUUUAAAUAUUCUCUUUUAUAAAAUAAUAAAAAGAGGUUAAAAAUUAGGUUAGCAAUUUAGCCAUUUAGGGUUUAGCAAUUAAGGAUGAACAUAUUAUUGUUGUUGUUGUUAUUAUUAUUAUUAUUUAUAUGUUUACUAAUCCAAUCCAAUCCAAUUAUUAACGAAUUUGAAAAAAUUGAUUCAAUCAAGCCAUAAUAAUUCAUUCAACUCGUCUAAAUUGGAUUAGGUUGAAUUUGGUUUGCCACCCUUGUUUUGAGCAACAAACCUCAAUGUGAUUCCAUGAGCUCUUUGAUUGUUUAUAAAAUUGUUUAUGAAAGUGCAAAAUAAAUUAUUGUAUACAUUAAAAUGUGCAAAACAAUGAAUUAUAUGUACGAACGAGUGCAAACACAUUUUUCAAUAAGAAGUUAAAAGAUAUUUAUGCAUGAAAAAGCCUACGUUUGUAGUUAUUCUAAAUUUUAAAAACAAAAUUUACAUUUAGAUCCCUAAAAUUUACGUAUAAGUACAAAAGUUUCAAAUAUUGUCUAUUAUUUUUUUAACAUGCCUAUUCCUUGUGGAUAAUUCUAUCUCAUCACUAAUGUUGUUUCUUGCUUACAAUUUGUAUAGUGUCUCAAAAUAGACAAUAGGGGGAUUUUGAAUUUUUUAAGUCUCAAUAUAGUCUCUAAUCUUGUGAGAAAGAUUUUCUUUCAAUAAUUUGGAGGUAAACAUAACAUAACUUUUUGGACUAAAGCCUAACUCUGCUGGUUAUGGUGGUAUCCUUUUCAAGACCUGCGUCUUUAGAUUCGAGUUUUAUAGUGUGCAUGCGUAUUUAAUUAAUAAUUUUUUAAAACAAUACAUCAAAUAUUAAUAUCCAUGACAUAAUUUAGUUCUUAAUUUUUUUUUUAAAUACAUCAAAAACAUAAUUUUUUUAACAACUUAUAGGCAUGACAAAUUUCAAGAUAUAAAUAUCAGUCAAAAUAAGUGAAAGAAAUAAUGGUGCCAAUUCUAAUUUCUUAACUAAAUUAAUUAGUGCAUGAGCCCCGAAUACGACACGAGAGUUUGAUGGGCUAACAUGGCACAAGAACCUGAAUAAAUAAUUGAUUUAAGAAAUAAUUCAAUGAAAAAUAUAAUUGAUAAGAAUUCAGUAUUGAAAUGAGUUUUUUAUGAAACACUGAAUUAAUGAUUAUUAAGCAAGAACAAUAAAAAAUAAAUAUUAAUCAUUGAUAAGUUUCAACAAAAGCUUAACACAAUCCUCAAUCCUAAUUCAAAUUAUAAAUGUCAUUCAUAUAUUCAUUAUAAUCAACAACAAAGGUUAUAAAUGUUUAGAAAUUCUAGAGGGAAGGAAGCUAUCGCUGGGCAAUCAACAACUAAAUUUGAUGUAAUUGUGGCACGAGAUGGAAUAUGGAAACUACACCAUAAUUUCAAAUGCCGCCAUAGACAUUGACUUAUCUACAAUAACAAUGAUCUAAUUAAAAUAAAAAUAGAGUUUAUGGGCAUUUAUUAAAAUAAAAAUAGGAGUGAAGUAAAAACAUUUAGAUUUUAAUGUAUGUACGGAAAAAUUUAUCUUUAAAAAUACUUUCUUAAUGUGUGUGUGCAUAUUGAAAUACUCAAACCAAUUUUGGUUAUAUAUAAUUCAACAAAAUUUAAAAUAUGAAAAAUAUAAUGUAGUUAUAGUGGAUAAGCAAUAAGUGAGCACAAUAUAAUUAAUCAAAUACUAUGCUAUCAAAAGUUAAUUUUAGAAAUUCCAAAUCCAAUAGCUAACACAAUUCUUUAAAGAAAUAACAAGGGGCAUUGGGCAAGAGUAAUGAAUGCUUAGUGGGUGCAUUUGAUUGAUAGAUAUAUAAAGGGCCGAAACUUGAUAUUAUAUUACUUUUACAAAAUUUAAUCCAAUCACAUAUUUAAUGAAAACAAAAUGAGUUAGGAUUGUUUAUUUAGAACCCACAUUUUAAUAAGGCUUCAUUUGAUGUAGUUUUUCAAACAUUGAUUAUUUGAGUAAUUACAAAGUACAAUACGUACCAAGUUUGGUAACUUAAUUGACAUCUUCUCAUAUAACCUUCGAUCAAGUCGAUUCUGACCUGACGACUAAUUGGUACAUCACCGUUGUUCUCUAUACUCGCAUGCAUCCGAUCACAAAUCUCACUCCAAUUGUCGUCUUUCUUCGGCGUUUUAGCGCAUCCUUCUUGAAUUUCCCGCAUUUCGUUCCCUCCUGUUACAAGUCUCCGGUCAGGUCAGUUCACUUGACGAUUAAUUCGGCAAAUCUCGAAUCUCUUCUCUAUCCCUCUCGUUUUCUCGUGUCUCCUUUCAGUUUAAGUGAUUGAAUCAAUUUUAUCGCAGUCUUAAGAGAAAUUAAGUAAUGCUCUUGGAUUUAAAAUUUUUUUGCUUUCGACUUUAGAUCUCGAAAGUCAAACUCUGCUACGAAUCCAUAGAUUCUCAAUGUUUAUAAUCUUAUUUGUGUUUGACCAGGUAACUGGAUCGUGAAAUUCGUCGUUUUGUAUCAAUUCAAGCUUUCGCGAGCUCAUGGAAUCCCCUGGUGAGUUGUGGUGAAACGUUAUCGUUUCAAUUUUCGCUUAAUUCUUUAUUGCAUAUUUUUUUCUCUCUAAUAUUUCAGUUUAAUUUAGAAAAGAAAGAGGACCCAAAAAGAGAGAGAGAGAGAGAGAGACUCUACCAUACUCAAUUCCUUGCUCAUUCUGAUUUGGCCUGAAUGUUGGCAUUGACUAUUAUUUGUUUUCAUUUCGAUUUAAUUCUCAUUUAGACAGUCUUUUUUAACUAGCAAUAAUCUUUUUAAGGAAAAUGAUAAUAGGGAUUCUGCAAUAAUCUUUUUAAGGAAAAUGAUAAUAGGGAUUCUGCAAUAAUCUUUCUGCAUUGUUCAAGUUAGUAGACAAUGAAUAGGGUGUUUAUGUUUACCUCAUUUUGAACCCUGAGGGCUUCGUUGAGUAGUUGAUCCAACAUAUCCAGCACCGGUUGAUGUGAGAACAGGAUGCCAUUUAGAUAGGCUUAAACUGAUUUUGGAGGUUUGUAUUCAUUCUAUUGUAUGUCUUGCUUACAAAUUUUUUAUUUUUUAUUUUUAAUUUUGUAUAAUAUGCUCUUUGUUGGUAAAUCUCAUUUGACUUAGAAGAGAUAGUUUUAUCCCAACAGUGGGAUAAAUCAUUGAGAUGCAUGGCAGUGUGAAUAUAGUAGACAAAAUCAUUGAGACAGAUGGUGGUGUGAACAUAGUAAACUUUGUCAAACACAGCUAAGAUAAACAAAUUGUUUCAUUAGCCUUUAUCUUAUCUGCUGUGAUGAUUCAAAUUAAUGCUGUUUGGUAGGUUGCAAAAAACGAAAUGAGCUGACUGUUCAUAUUAUUUAGUCAGAUCUAUUGCAAUAAGUUGAAGUUCACUGUCACAUGGGUUGGGAGUAGCGUGGGCUGUGAGUAGUAGAAUGGAUUUAUGGAGUUGAUACAAGUGCCCAUAAUCUAUCAUGUCAUUCUAGGAUUAAAUGGAUUGCACAUUACUGUAAAGAUGGAGGUUAAAUUUAUAUAAUUCGGAUUGAUUGUAAAAUGGGAGGCAGAGAUGAGUUAGAAAAAAAAUGACCUGUGUCCUUUUUGAGCUGUUUCUAAAUCUCCCUGGUGUGCUUCAUGCUUAACACGUGUCUGUCCAAAUAAUUUUGCUUAACCUGUGCUUGUCUACUUCUUGUGCUAUUCUGUGCCUGGUCCUGAGCUGUGUUGGUAGAUUGACAUAAUUUUGCUCUGCUAAAUGUAUAACUUAUUAAUCAGAGUCCUGUUAUUAUGGUUUGACACUACUGACAUGUUGUGUUGGUAUUUAUUUGUACUUCCCUUGGUUGAAUUAUUUGCUGUCUCCAUGCCAUUCGAUAUGGUGCUACUUGGUUUUUGAUCAUCCAUGACGCUAUAUAUAUGUAAAGGAUGAAUUGAUUGUUUUGGCUUGUAUUCUCACAUUUUAUGAUUGAUCGAUGGAAAGGUCUUCAUGUAUUAAAUUCAACCUCACAAGCGUAAGAUUGACAGAUUGUGGGAAAAUUUUCAGGAAAAGAAACUAGACUUCAUGGAAGCAAUGAAGCUUGAAAUUGAACGUCUGCAGCUGCAUCUUUCUGCAGCUGAAAGGGAUAGAGCUUUAUUGUCAAUUGAAACUGAUCCUGCCUCUAUAAAUCCAAAUGUAUUGCUUGAUGAAUCUUACAUGGGAAGACUGUCGAGUAGCAACCACUCUUGCAUUACUUGGCCAAACUUCCCUAGAAGACAAAAUUGUUGGUGCAAUUGGCCUUGAGAAUAGUGAUGAUAGUGUUUUAGACUUCUGGAAUAUUACUAGAAUCGGAGAGAGUUGUUCUGGUGGCGGGUGCAAGGUUUGUGCAGAAACUAAGGUGCCUGCUCUUGCUUCCUCAACUGCAACAUCUGUUGGAGCUUCACAAUCCCCUUUGUUGUGUUCUCAAUGUGAAAGAAAAGUUUGCAAAGUUUGUUGUGCAGGAAGAGGAGCUCUACUGUUUUCAAAUUAUAAAUCAAGGGAUGUGACCAACUACAAUGGCUUCUCAAGUCAGAGUGGAUGAAGCCAUGGAAGCCAAGUUGAUGUAUCUACCAGUCGUUCACUAACACUGGAUGGCGUUAUCUGUAAACACUGCUGCCAUGAGAUUGUGCCUGAUGCAUUGAUGUUGGACCAUGUUAGGGUCUUGAUUAGCUUGCGAAGAAGUUCCUGUGCAGACAACGCAGUCAUACAAUGCUUUGAAUGAGGUUGUUGGAUCCUGCUUAAAGGAUAGUGUUUCUGAAAGGAUUCAGUCUUCCGAUAACGUGCAAGCUGCUGAAGUCCUUCACCAAUUAUGUGGUGGACAGGAAUCACUUGCUGAAUUUCCAUUUGCUAGCUGUUUGCACUAGGUAUGUUCUUGGUUUGUAUUCAGUUCUCAUCAUGUUAUGUUUUCCUUUUAAAUUUCUUUUCUUGAUUAAAAUUUUUAGAAAUAUGUUUUAGUAUUUGUUCUUAUGAUAUAUGCCCAGAACAUUCAUCCCACUUAUCCAUGAGAAUCCUUGUCUGGUUUGAUUUUCAAUUGAGACAUUUUUGGGAACCCUGAGCAGGUUCCAUAUGCUAAUAAUCUUUGAGGUAAGGUGUUGUAGGAUGCCUUGAGAAGCUAAAAACCUAUUACAAGGAAAAGCUCUUGCAUUGUUUUGUGGAAUCUGUGUUGUGAAAAUAGGUAGAGAAAAAGUUUAUGGAAUAAUUCUCUUAUUUCAUAUGUUCAUGAGACUGUACACAGUCUUUAUAUAGGGAUACAAGAGACUAAGAAAGGAAAGAAAAAAUUAAAGCAGAAUAUUACACACUGAUUUCUAGGAAGCAAUAACUCUAUAUUUACACCAAAUAUACACCUAAAUAUAUAAGGAAAACCAAAUCAAUUUGAUUUGGUCAACCUUUCAACACUCCCCCUCAAGCUGGUCUAAAAAUGUCUUUCAUGGCCAGCUUGCAAACCAAUUUCUCAAAAUGUUUCUUAGGUAGUCCCUUGGUGAGUAUAUCAGCAAUCUGCUCAUUUGUAGGAAUGUAGGGCAUGCAGACCAAACCACUGUCCAGUUUUUCUUUUAUGAAAUGUUUGUCCACUUCAACAUGUUUAGUUCGGUUGUGGAGUACUGGAUUAUGUGCUAUUGCAAUGGCAGAUUUGUUGUCACAAUAUACUUUCAUAGGUAGAGAAUUAUUUGCCUUAAGUUCUUCAAGAACUUUUUUGAUCCAAAAAACCUCACAAAUUCCUAGAGCUACUGCUCUAUAUUCUGCCUCUGCACUACUUCUUGCUACCACAGUUUGUUUCUUGCUGCGCUAAGUGACCAAAUUUCCUCCGACAAAGGUGCAGUAACCCGAAGUGGAUCUUCUAUCGGUUACACUACCAGCCCAGUCAGCAUCAGUGUAGACUUCUACUUGUAGGUGCCCGUUUUUUCUAAACAAAAGACCUUUACCCGGAGAUCCUUUUAAGUAUCUAAGGAUUCUAUAUACAGUUUCAAAGUGUUCUGGUCCUGGAGCAUGCAUAAACUGGCUGACUAAGCUCACUGCAAAGGCUAUGUCCGGGCGUGUAUGUGAAAGGUAGAUUAAUCUACCUACAAGGCGUUGGUACCGAUCUAUGUUGGUCACAUCUUCAAUAUUAGCUGGCUGUAAUUUCAUAUUAGGAUCUAUGGGUGUCUCGGCUGCUUUACAUCCGAGUAAACCUGUCUCUUCAAGCAAAUCAAGAACAUACUUGCGUUGAGACACAACAAUCCCAUCUUUUGAUCUAGCAAACUCCAUGCCCAAAAAAUACUUCAGGUUGCCUAAGUCUUUGAUUUCAAAGUCACGUGCAAGCACUUUCUUUAAUCUGCAAAUCUCAACUAAGUCAUCACCAGUCAAAAUUAUAUCAUCUACAUAUACAAUUAACACGACUAAUUUCCCUUCAAUAGAAUGUUUGUAAAACAUUGUAUGAUCUGCCUGACUUUGGGAGUAGCCGUGUCCCUUUAUAACAUUACCAAAGCGUUCAAACCAUGCUCUAGGAGACUGUUUGAGCCCAUACAAAGACUUAUGUAGUUUACACACUUUACUGUUGCCAUGAUUUCCCUCAAAACCUAGUGGUAAAUCCAUAAAGACUUCUUCUUCUAGCUCCCCAUUCAGAAAAGCAUUUUUAACAUCUAACUGGUAUAGAUUCCAAUCAGAAUGUACAGCCAAUGAGAUAAGGACCCGGAUGGAAUUUAUCUUUGCAACGGGGGCAAAAGUUUCUUGAUAAUCAAUUCCGUAGGUUUGAGUGAAUCCUUUUGCUACAAGCCUUGCCUUAUAUCUCUCAACACUCCCAUCAGCAUUACAUUUAAGUGUAAACACCCACUUUCAACCCACAGUUUUCUUUUCUUUUGGUAAAUCCACAAUCUCCCACGUACCAUUCUUCUUUAGAGCAUUCAUUUCCUCUAAAACUGCUAACUUCCAAUCUGGGUGGUCUAGGGCUUCUUUUAUGGUUUUAGGAAUUGGUAUUUGAGAGAUUUUUGUGGUAAAGGCUCUUUGUUUAUUGGACAACUUUUCAUAGGAAACAUAUCUAGCAAUGGGGUGCUUAGUACAGGUUCGGGUUCCUUUCCUAUGUGCUAUGGGUAAGUCAAGAUCAGGAAAAAAAGUGCUGAAAUGUUUAGGAGAAGAAAUGUUACCUGAAUUUUCUGAGGAAUCAGUGCUUGGAGGCAACGAUUGAGGCUGUAUCGAGUUUAUGAGAGGGUCUUUACUGUUGUGAUGAUACUUUCGAGUAUAAACACGCAGCUCUGGUGGUGGAAUUUUAUCUUGUAGUAUUUCUCCCCCUGUCUCUGGUACAUUAACACUUGGUUCCUGUAGUUCAAGGUUUCCUAGGUUUUCAUUAUUAGAAAUAUCAGUUUUUUGAGUUUGAGUUGGAGUGCCCAGAUCAGGUAAAAACUGAUUAGGCAUAGGUGUAGAAGUAUGCCAAAAAUGAUCUUCACUAUUUUCUUUCUCCCCCUGAAGAGAAUUUUGGCCAAAAAAAGGUUGAUUUUCGAGAAAUAUAACAUCCAUACUGACAUGGAAUUUCUUUGUUUGAGGAUUGAAACAUUUGUAACCUUUUUUAUUAGGUGCAUAGCCCAAGAAAACACAUUUUUCAGAUCUAGGAUCCAAUUUAGAUCUAAGAUGGUUAGGAACAUGAACAAAUACAGUGCACCCAAAGACUCUUAACUGAAUAUUGGAGGUAAUCCUACUAGAAGGAUAUAUAAGUGUGAAGUAUUCUAAAGGUGAUUGAUACUUUAAAACACGGGUAGGCAUCCUAUUAAUCAAAUAACAUGCUGUUAAAACAGCAUCACCCCACAAAUAUUUAGGAACAUGCAUAGAGAGCAUGAUAGCCGACUAACUUCAAGUAAAUGGCGGUUUUUUCGUUCCGCAAUUCCAUUUUGUUGUGGAGUAUCACGACAAGUGGAUGUGUGAAUUAUACCCUUUUCCUUACAAAACACCUCUAGAUAAUUAUUAAAAUAUUCAGUACCAUUAUCUGUAUGGAGUAGACUUAUUUUUGUUUGAAAUUGAUUUUCAACCAUGUUAUAAAAAUCUUUGAAUAACCCCUCAACUUCAGAUUUUUCUCUCAUUAAAUAAACCCAACAAAGCCGAGUAUGAUCAUCUAUGAAUGUUACAAACCAUUUUUUUCCAGUUAAAGUGUUGAUUUUUGAGGGUCCCCAAACAUCACUAUGAAUUAAAUAAAAAGGUUUUGAGGCACGAUAAAUAAGUGCUUUAUAUGAAACUCGAUGACUUUUAGAUAAAAAACAACUUUCACACUGAAAAGUAGUACAAUCAACAUUUUUAAAUAAAUUUGGAAACAAAUAUUUCAAAUAAGGAAAGCUAGGGUGUCCUAGUCUAAGGUGCCAAAGCAUUAUUUGAUCCCUAGCAGAGUUUGAACUAAUACUACUGCUCAAACCUUGAGUUUGUUUAUUCCUUGAUAAGUAGUCAUCAAAAUAGUAAAGACCUUCUCGCAAACUAGCACUGCCAAUCAUCGUCCCCAAGUCCCUGUCCUGAAAUUCACAAUGGGAGUCAAAAAAGACAGCACAACAAUUAGAAUCUUUGGUUAAUUUACUGACAGAUAACAGAUUGCAAGAAAGUUUAGGGACAUGUAGCACAUUUUUAAGCUCAAUGGUUCCAGAGAUUUUUAUUGAUCCUUUUCCAGCUAUGGAAGAUAAGCUUCCAUCAGCAACUCUUACCUUUUUGUUACCAGGGCAAGGAUAAUAGGAAUCAAAUAAACUAGAAAUGCUAGUCAUAUGAUCAGAAGCACCCGAAUCAAUAAUCCAUGGUGCAGUAGUUGAGUGGCUAAAUAGAGCAUUAAUAAUACUACCUGUUUGGGCUAGUGAACCACUAGGAGUACUAGGUGGAGGAUUAGAAGUCAGCAGCUUUAUGAGAUGGUCAAUUUGCUCCUUGCUGAGAUUUUUUUCUAGAUUCUCCACUUCAUUGGCAGACGCACGGCUAUGCUUGCUGUUUUUCCAAUCUGCAGGCUUUCCGUGGAGUUUCCAGCAAGCCUCCCGAGUAUGGCGUGGUUUAUUACAGUAAUCACACCAUACUCGAGGUUUUUGUUGCUGUUGAGUGAUGGAGCGGGUAGCAUUAUCUGCUGUAACAAGGGCAGAUUUUUCCACAGAGACAACGGAGUUCUUUUUUCCCAACAUAACACCUCGACGACUUUCUUCUCUCCUUACUUAAGAGAAAACAUCCUCAAGAGUAGGAAGUGGCUUUCUCCCAAUAAUUCUUCCUCUUACCUCAUCAAAUUCAACAUUGAGCCCAGCCAGGAACUUGAAGAUUCGCUCAUUAUUGACAGUUUGUUUGUGGUGUUUAAAAUCUUCCAUGCUCUCCCACUCGUAGUCGUUGAAUAAGUCCAGAUCUUGCCACAAUCUCUUUAGAGUAUUGAAGUAUUUUGUUAUACUAUAAUCUCCUUGACGGAUAUCUCCAAGAGCAAGCUGCAACUCAUAGAUCUGGGACUGAUUUCCAUAGUCAGAGUACAUCUGACUCACAUUAUCCCAGAGUUCUUUUGCAGUAGAGUAGCACAUAUAAUUUGCACCAAUGUCUUCAUCCAUGGAGUUGACUAACCAUGCCAUAAUCAUGGAGUUUUCGGCAUCCCAAACACCAUAAGAGGGAUCAGAUAUUUCAGGAGCCUUAACAUCUCCGGUAAGAUAACCAAUCUUCCCUCUUCCCCUAAUAUACAUUCUAACCGACUGAGACCAUCUUUGAAAAUUUCCUUCAUUCAGCCGGAUAGUUGUAAUCUGGACAGAAUGAGAUUCAGAAUGGGAAAUUUUUGGUUCUAGUCUUUUUGAGGUGACUGUGGUUUCAGAAGAUUGGUCAGACAUGGUAGGGAAGAGAUCAGAAAGAAAGGGAGCCUAGCUCUGAUACCAUGUGAAAAUAGGUAGAGAAAAAGUUUAUGGAAUAAUUCUCUUAUUUCAUAUGUUCAUGAGACUGUACACAGUCUUUAUAUAGGGAUACAAGAGACUAAGAAAGGAAAGAAAAAAUUAAAGCAGAAUAUUACACAUUGAUUUUUAGGAAGCAAUAACUCUAUAUUUACACCAAAUAUACACCUAAAUAUAUAAGGAAAACCAAAUCAAUUUGAUUUGGUCAACCUUUCAACAUGUGUGCUAGCAAGUCAUGUCUCUAAUAAUUUCAUAGUUUGCUUGAUUGGAAUUUUUUAUCUUGAUAUGGAUUGUUUAUUCUAGAUUCCUUGGUGCUGUAGGUUGAAACAGCAAAAGAUUCAGCACCGAUUUUGUCACUGCUUGCUCCAUUAAAUUCUGGAUCAAGGCACUCAUAUUGGAGAGCUCCACCUUGUACUACUUCUGUUGAAUUUGUUAUUGUUCUCUGUUCUGUUUCUGAUGUCAGUGGGGUUAUCUUGCUUGUUAGUCCUUGCGGCUAUUCUGUGGGUGACACUCCGAUGGUAAGUGCCAUAUUUAUUCCCUUAUUUCCUUGUUGUUCAAUAAAUUUGGUGAUAAGCCAAGUGGCCUUAAUAAUGAAGCCCAGUACCAGGGGUGGUGGGUAAUCGAUAUUCAACUUGUGAAUAUUCCUAAGCAAGCACUGAAUCAACAUAGACCUCGGCAAAAGUUCUCCAUGCUAUUAUAACGAAAGUCAUAUUUUGAAAUGAUUAAAAGAGUCCCUGUGUAGUGCUAUUUCCAAAGAAAUUGCAGCUGGAGGUUUAGUUUCAUGUAGGUUAGUUUCCGAUAAUAAACUUUCCAUUUCAUUAAUUGCUGAUGAAAAAACCAAGUAAGAACAGUUUUGUUGCUCGUCAUUUAUGUAUAUUUUGGUAAACUGUAAUUUUAAAUUCUCAACGAUCUUCCCUUUGUAGGUAAGAAGAUGGUCCACUCACUUGAUAUUUAUGAUUGUAGAUCAGGUUUCUAUUGGUUUGCCUUUAUCAUUCGGAACCCAAGUUUGAUAUUAACAGAGAUCACGUCAAUAAUAUCCUAUUUGGGUAGAUGUGGGUGAGGAUUUAAAAUCAAAUUUGAAAUUGAGGGCAAAGAAGAGAAAAGAAACCGCAAUAAUUAAACAAAAUAUUAGGAACUAUUCUGAUGAGUUUUAAUCUCGAGAGGAACAAUUUUCAAAUGCAAAAUUUAACUGCUAGAGAAAUUGUAGCUUUUUGUCAUUAGUUAAGAGGAAAGAGAAUAAGAACUAUCUGGCCCUUUCCUUCAUGAAUGUGUGUUGAGGUUGCUGUAUUAUUUAGUCAGUAUUUGUAAUUUUCUUCCCUGCAGUGCUCUCUGCCUCCUGAAUUUGCUACUGAGUCCAUAUUUUUCUUUGAGCUGUUGCUUCCUAUUGCUGUUACAGGUACAAAUCUGGGCAAGCAAUAAGAUACACCGGGAGGACAGGUCAUCAAUGGGAAAAUGGGAUGUCCAAUCCCUCAUCACAUCUUCUUCAGAUUUGUAUGGUCCAGAAAAGUCUGCUAGUGUUGAAAAAUUACCUAGGCAUGUAAAAUUUACUUUUAAGAAUCCUGUUAGGUGCCGCAUUGUUUGGAUCACAUUACGUCUUCAGAGACCUGGUUCGGCUUCAGUUAAUUUCGGGAAUGACUUCAGUCUUUUGUCUCUUGAUGAAGAUGAAAACCCCUUUGCACAAGUAGACAGACGUGCUUCAUUUGGAGGAGCAGUUGAAAAUGAACCAUGUAUUCAUGCCAAAAGAAUUCUUGUAGUCGGAAGCCCAGUAAAAAGGGAGGGGCUUACCACAUCACAGAGCUCUGAGCAGCUAAGUAUUAGAAACUGGUUGGAUAGAGCUCCACAAAUGAGUAGAUUCAAGGUAUUAGUUGCUUUCACUCUUUGUUCAUUCAUAAUUCCAGCUUUCUGCUUGAUGCCUUGCCUCUGAUAAACCUCUUUUUUCUCUUCAGGUCCCAAUUGAGGCCGAGAGAUUGAUGGACUACGAUCUCGUCUUGGAACAGUAUCUACCUCCAGCGUCACCUUCGCUUGCCGGAUUCCGUCUAGAUGCUUUCAGUGCAAUAAAACCUAGGGUUACCCAUUCACCUUCCUCAGAUUCAGAUAUCUGGGACAAAUCAGUAACAUUUUUAGAAGACAGGUACAUCUCUCAAGCUGUGUUGUAUUUACAAGUAUCCGCACUCCAGGAACCACAUAACAUGGUAACUAUUGCGGAAUAUCGACUGCCGGAGGCUAGAGCCGGAACGCCAAUGUACUUUGAUUUCCCACGACCGAUACAGUCCCGACGAGUUUCAUUCAAGCUUCUUGGAGAUGUUACAGCAUUUGCAGAUGAACCUUCAGAACAAGAUGAUUCAGGAUUGAGAGCUCCACUUGUGGCCACAGGUUUGUCUUUGUCAAACAGAAUCAAGUUAUAUUAUUAUUGUGAUCCUUAUGAGCUCGGAAAAUGGGCAAGCCUUUCUGGAGUUUGAUCGUUAUUUAUAUGUCAGAGAAAGGGUUUUGGGUUUGAUUUUGAUUUUGAUUUGUAAUUUUUGUCAGUUUAUUGAAAUUUUUUGUUGUAUAAAAGCAGAAUGUAAAGGUAUAAAAAUUCAUUGAUGCUGCAAUGUCUGUGCUUUUGAGAAAGAAAGAAUUCUAUGGCUUUUCUAUGCCAUUGGAUUUUCCACUGCCUGUAAACUUGGGCUGUCGAAUGCUCUGUGAACCUUAAGGGCUAUAAAGUAAUUUUCAAGACUGAAGGAUUUAUUAAUCGAGUUCAAAAGAUUGCAAGUUGGUGAGCGUUGGCAUUUAAAAAAUCAAUUGUUAUUCUCUCAAUAAUCUCUGUCUUCUGCCGACACCCCAUGCUCAGAAACCCAUUGUUCCGACGGACGUGUAACACUUCUAGAAAUUGUUUUGAUCUCUCCUCGUGAAGUGUUUUCUUUUUCGAGUGAAGGUGGUUUUCUACUUGCAUACGUCGGGGGUCUUAUGAUAUGUAAUGUGUGAAAUUUCUUUCUCAUUUUACCAUAAAGAAAAAUGUUGUAAUAAUCUAAAGCUCGAGUCUUAAAUUAUCUUAAAUUUAUAUUUAGAGUGGAGCUAUUCGCAAUCCUACAUUAAAAUUACAAAUAAAAAUAAUUGAAAAUUAAACACUUAUAGAUUUUUUUUACAACAAAUUAUUUAAUUCAUAAUCAAUCCUUUAAAAAAAAAAAUCCAUAUGUUACUUGCUAUCUAACUAAAAUAAAUUUUACAAAUUUAGAAUAAUCUAUUGAUUUCUUUUGAUUUCUUAUUAAUUAAAUAUUUUUAUACAUAAAAUUGCUUUGAAAUUAUAAUUUGAAAUAUGUGUUAUUUCAGCCAAUGAUUAACACUAAAAAACUUAUCACCCAUAUAACUUUUUAAUUUGUGUGUAGGGUAAUAAUAAAAUCAAAAAUAAUUAAAAAAAUAGUACAAUAAUGAGUUUUAACAAUAAAACAAAUCAAAUGAAAAUUGAAAAUUUAGAAAAAAUGUAUCUAAAAAAGGGAACGUUUUUUAAAAUAAAAUGAAUAUAACUAAAAAGGGGUUUUAUGAGAAGAGCAGAGGGGUGCCAAUAGUCCAACUUGUAAUUAAGAAUCUCCCAUUAUAUUGUCAACCAAAAAGACACUUGAAUAAGAAGAAGAAUUUAUCAGUUUGAUUUUAUUUAUAGAUCCAACAUUUCUCAUAUCCUAAACGCCUUUCCGUAUCAAAUUAAAACAGUAGUCGCAAAAUCGUAGUAUUAAAAUCGUAGUGCACAUUCAAUUAACCAACUAAUAGUCUUUGGUAUAAGAUUUUAUAUUAGCUAGCCAAGUAGGUUGUCCAUCCCACUCAGACAUGAACGAAAGCUAAAUUCAUCAAAUGGUGUUAUACUAUUAAAUAUUUUUAUAUUUAAAAUUACUUUGAAAUUAUAAUUUCAAAUUAAAAUAGUAGUAGCAAAAUCGUAGUGCACAUUCAAUUAACCAACUAAUAGUCUAAGAAGCAAAGAGAGGAUUACAAGUUCACAACACCAUUACAAAGGAUUCAAAAUUCCCACACGAAAACAUCAAUGUACAGAUUAUAAACAAUCCGAAUUGGACACAAGAAAAAGCCCUUCAAUGGAUUGCUUUCCUUCCCAAUGCUAUAUACUGUGCAAACUCCGCACUGGCCAAGAAAAUGUUUUCAAUUUAGUGUAUUUUCAAAUUGCUUAUUUUCUCAUAAUAUAAAAAAUAAAAAAGAAUCCUUACAUGUUUCAUCAGCAUGAUUAAAAUCAAAGAAGAAAGCGAAGACGUAAUGUCUCUGACAUAAUAAAAUUACAAAAAUUUCAAGGAAAAAAAAAAGGUUAAAACAUGUAAUCUUCAGAAGCAUAUAAUAAAAGAACACUUCCACAAAUUACUACAAUUUCAUGCAGUAGAGAUUGAAGAGUUGAAUUCCACUAAUUUUAAUAAUGAAAACAACAACAGAGGAUUAACUGAUGCUUUGACUUAUUAGCAGGUUGCUUUGACUUAUUAGUUCUGCAGCUAAGUUAAAUAAAAUAAGCUAUUUUCAAAAGCAAAAUGGAAUACAUAGAUAAAAACAUCAUCUUAAACAAAUCACAAUCUAGAAUUAGAGCAUUUUCGACAUACCUAAGGAACACGAAUACGUGAAAACGGGUGAUUUAUUUGUUAAGGAGUGUUGAUUUGGUCGUCUCUGCAAAUUCUUUAGGGACUCGGUUCCAAUUCCUCUUCAUCAAAACUGUAAUAUAAUUCCCCUUCAUCAGAACUCGAAUCGAUGCAAUAUAAUUCCCCUUCAUCAGAACUCGAAUCAAAUUCACUUGCAGCAGUUCCACUCGCGCUUGGCAAAUCAUCCAAUUUCCAAACUUCGGUAACAAAAUUGAGAGUAAAAGUGUUGGCUUUGAUCUCGCUGGGAUUUGCAUAUACUGGACAUACUCCGCAACGUUUUAUCUUCUGACCCUUUUGGACCUUUAUUAUGUUUCGGUGACACUCAUUGAAGAACUUAAAUGUGGCAGUUGAAUGAUGGUCACCAUCAGGAAAGCCAACAUUCAAGCAAGGUUUAAAACCAAGUAUGACAUGAUCUGAAUCAUGGGGGUCUUGAAUU
rnacentral:lncRNA from 1 species